rnacentral:rRNA from 1 species
AUUGAACGCUGGCGGCAGGCCUAACACAUGCAAGUCGAACGAGUGGCGGACGGGUGAGUAAUGUCUGGGAAACUGCCCGAUGGAGGGGGAUAACUACUGGAAACGGUAGCUAAUACCGCAUACCAUCGGAUGUGCCCAGAUGGGAUUAGCUAGUAGGUGGGGUAACGGCUUACCUAGGCGACGAUCCCUAGCUGGUCUGAGAGGAUGACCAGCCAAACUGGGACUGAGACCCGGCCCAGAGUCCUACGGGAGGCAGCAGGGGGGAAUAUUGCACAAUGGGCGCAAGCAUGAUGCUGCCAUGCCGCGUGUAUGAAGAAGGCCUUCGGGUUGUAAAGUACUUUCAGCGGGGAGGCGUUACUGGCAGAAGAAGCACCGGCUAACUCCGUGCCAGCAGCCGCGGUAAUAC